rnacentral:rRNA from 1 species
GAGUUUGAUCUUGGCUCAGAACGAACGCUGGCGGCAUGCCUAACACAUGCAAGUCGAACGAGACCUUCGGGUCUAGUGGCGCACGGGUGCGUAACGCGUGGGAAUCUGCCCUCUGGUUCGGAAUAACUCAGGGAAACUUGAGCUAAUACCGGAUAAUGACUUCGGUCCAAAGAUUUAUCGCCUGAGGAUGAGCCCGCGUCGGAUUAGCUAGUUGGUGAGGUAAAAGCUCACCAAGGCGACGAUCCGUAGCUGGUCUGAGAGGAUGAUCAGCCACACUGGGACUGAGACACGGCCCAGACUCCUACGGGAGGCAGCAGUGGGGAAUUUUGGACAAUGGGGGAAACCCUGAUCCAGCCAUUCCGCGUGAGUGAAGAAGGCCUUCGGGUUGUAAGCUCUUUGUCCGGAACGAACGGACUAGCGUGAAUAUCGCUGGCUACUGACGGUACCGGAAGAAUAAGCACCGGCUAACUACGU